UGGGUAACCUGCCUGUAAGACUGGGAUAACUCCGGGAAACCGGGGCUAAUACCGGAUGCUUGUUUGAACCGCAUGGUUCAAACAUAAAAGGUGGCUUCGGCUACCACUUACAGAUGGACCCGCGGCGCAUUAUCUAGUUGGUGAGGUAACGGCUUACCAAGGCAACGAUGCGUAGCCGACCUGAGAGGGUGAUCGGCCACACUGGGACUGAGACACGGCCCAUACUCCUACGGGAGGCAGCAGUAGGGAAUCUUCCGCAAUGGACGAAAGUCUGACGGAGCAACGCCGCGUGAGUGAUGAAGGUUUUCGGAUCGUAAAGCUCUGUUGUUAGGGAAGAACAAGUACCGUUCGAAUAGGGCGGUACCUUGACGGUACCUAACCCGAAAGCCACGGCUAACUACGUGCCGCAUCCGCUGUAAUACGUAGGUGGCCAGCGUUGUCCGGAAUUAUUGGGCGCAAAGGGCUCCCAGGCCGUU
rnacentral:rRNA from 1 species